rnacentral:rRNA from 1 species
GAACGAACGCUGGCGGCGCGCCUAAUACAUGCAAGUCGAACGAGAAGGUGUAGCAAUACACUUGUACAGUGGCGAACGGGUGAGGAAUGCAUGGGGCAACCUACCCUCGAGUGGGGAAUAACCAGCCGAAAGGUUGGCUAAUACCGCGUAACGCUUCCGGGUCUCCGGAUCCGGAAGGAAAGUCACACCGUGGGUGUGACGCUCAAGGAUGGGGCUCAUGUCCUAUCAGCNGUUGGUGAGGUAACGGCUCACCAAGGCAACGACCGGUAGCUGGCCUGAGAGGACGAUCAAGCCACACUGGCACUGCGACACGGGCCAGACUCCUACGGAGGCAGCAGUAAGGAAUAUUGCGCAAUGGGCGAAAGCCUGACGCAGCGACGCGC